GAUGAACGCUGGCGGCGUGCUUAACACAUGCAAGUCGAACGGUAGCCUUGGAUUCGUCUGAGGUGAGAGUGGCGGACGGGUGAGUAACACGUUGGUGACCUGCCCCAAAGAGGGGAAUAACCAUUGGAAACGAUGGCUAAUACCCCAUGUGAUUCCGGGAUUUGGAUGUCCUGGGAUUAAAGUUCUGGCGCUUUGGGAGGGGCCUGCGGCCCAUCAGCUAGUUGGUAGGGUAAUGGCCUACCAAGGCAAAGACGGGUAGGGGGCGUGAGAGCGUGACCCCCCACACUGGCACUGACACACGGGCCAGACUCCUACGGGAGGCAG
rnacentral:rRNA from 1 species